CGCCGCGCCGGGUGAGCCGGAGGAUGGAGCAGAUGCCGCGGCUCGGAGCUGGAAAGGCUGGGAAAGGAGCGCUGAGAUCUCUCUUACUCUAGAUGCACCCUCAGCCACAGGGCUGAAUUACUCUGAAUACCAACCAACUUCCUACCUGCCCAUGGUCUGUGCUGAGAAUAUGACAGCAAUGAAAGGAAAAACCUUACAGGCAAAUAUUCUACAGAACGCCAGGAAGGAGAUGCAAUAGAAGAGCAACUAACAGGUCUGAAUGGAGCUUCUUAACUCUCAUCCGGCUCCUGGGUCUCCUGCUCAACUUUUUUCAACCUCAGCUGCCUCAUGCUCACUGGUUGUAACAUGGUGAUCAUAUAGUUUAUUGUUGUGCAGGAUCUUAUGGACUACCACAGCUUACCUGCAUCACUGCCAAGCAGCAGGCUUUGUCCUGCUUCAUCAGUGGUACCUCGCAGGAUUCUGGGUUUUAUGUUCCUGUGAUGGGCAACACCCAAAUACCAUGCAGGUUCCCAAAUUGGGAUGAACAAAGUCUCGAUGUUGGACUUCUAUCUGCCUUCUACAAGCACUGGGUUUUCCCUGCUCUGUGUACAAAGACCUGUGUAGUGACAGAGCUUUGCUUAGGCUGUUGAGCUCUGCAGAGAGAUCUCAAAAUUCUUCCUCCCAUGGCAAACUCAAGAGCAGAGUGGGGGAAAAAGAAUCUUACCCUCAGCCUUCUAUUUUGGGGGAGCAGCACAGGGAGAGCCCAGCCAGCAACUCUGCUUUUGCAUCCUCGUUUGUACAGAUGGCUUGUGUGGAGCCGAGAAGGAUUGUAACACUAGAAGAGAUGAAUGGUAUCUACCAAGUUCUUUAUCCAGGCUACAGUAUUGACCUAUAUCUGCUUUAUAAAGGUGAAAAAACAUGGAUAGCUGUGUGGGUUGAGCAGGAACAUCUUCCUGCUGCCAGCUGGCAAACAGCUUGGGGAUUACAGCAUGAGGAUUAAUAGCCUUUGUCAUUUGUAAGUGCAGAUGCUAACCUUACUCAUAUGACAGACUGAUCUUCUUUGGAUUCUGUGCCUGUUUGCUGUUCCAGAAAGAUGACCUUGGGCUGCUGUGAGAGACAAAAUAUUUACACAUUCAUUUCUUAGGGCCUACAGCGUAGGCUGCAGGAAGACACGAGCUCGCUCAGCACUGAGAAAAAAAGGAGAAAAGAAAUGCUCUAUGCCUUCAGCUAAGGAAUCAUGCAGAGAAGCUGGGUUUUAGCUCAGGCUUCAUGCCAGUGCAGCCCGGCUGUGCUGCUUUCUGGAGUACAGAGCAAGCAAACCCCCAGCUCUACAGCAGCACAAGCACACUGAGAGCCUUCCCUCCCCACCACCUUCUUGGCCACUGCUUGGGGUUUUCAUUGGGGUUUCAUUCAUGUUUGCCCGACAGCUUGUUAAAUCUGCACCAGAUUCUGAAUAAACACCCAAACCAGC
rnacentral:lncRNA from 1 species